UACGAAGGGGGCUAGCGUUGCUCGGAAUCACUGGGCGUAAAGGGUGCGUAGGCGGGUCUUUAAGUCAGGGGUGAAAUCCUGGAGCUCAACUCCAGAACUGCCUUUGAUACUGAAGAUCUUGAGUUCGGGAGAGGUGAGUGGAACUGCGAGUGUAGAGGUGAAAUUCGUAGAUAUUCGCAAGAACACCAGUGGCGAAGGCGGCUCACUGGCCCGAUACUGACGCUGAGCU
rnacentral:rRNA from 1 species